UACGUAGGCAGCGAGCGUUGUUCGGAGUUACUGGGCGUAAAGGGUGCGUAGGCGGUUGUCUAAGUUUGGUGUGAAAUCUCCCGGCUUAACUGGGAGGGUGCGCCAAAUACUGGAUAGCUAGAGUGCGGGAGGGGAGAGUGGAAUUCCUGGUGUAGCGGUGAAAUGCGUAGAUAUCAGGAGGAACACCUGUGGUGUAGACGGCUCUCUGGACCGCAACUGACGCUGAGGCACGAAAGCGUGGGGAGCAAACAGG
rnacentral:rRNA from 1 species